UUUAAUGUGUUUUUUUUUAAUAUGUGUGAAAUACUAAACAGGGAAACACACCUAUGAUAAAAAAUCAAAAUAAAUAAAUCAUCACUUUCAGCAAAUUAUAACAGAACUUGAUGUAUAGCUCGCUCACCAUUUUCUAUUAAGGACGUUCAGAAAAUUUUGUUUCAAGUUACAUCAUAUUUUUAAAUUUCUGUUUAAAUUUUUAUGUUUAAUGAUUUUUUUUACUUUUUUAUUUUUAAUUAGUGAAUCAUAGUUAGUUAGAUAAUUAAUAAUGUUUUUGUUUUAAAAUAUAUAUAAUUACAUAUUUAUUAAUCUAUGUAUAUAAAUUCGUAGCAUCAAAUAACAGAAAACGGAAUGAAUAUUUCAAAAGUACUAAU
rnacentral:lncRNA from 1 species